UGUCCUUCUGGGAGCCCAGAGACGAAGUGAUACACUGAUGUCCAUCCCCACACCCCGCUCAGAAAAGCCCCGCAGUGGUGACCGGAGACAGCGCCUCUCUGCAGGAGAGCCCAGGAGGGUCUGGGAGGGAAGCGGUGGUUGGCUGCCUGCCUUGAAAUUUGGAAGAUCGCAGAUCUUAGGUUUCCAGUUAGGUUGGGAAAAGAUCUCUGAGAUCAUCGAGUCCAAUCUAUGACUGAACACCAUGUCAAUUAGACCACAGCCCUAAAUCCCAUGUCCGGUGUUUCUUUAAACAUCUCCAGGGACGGUGAUUCCAUUACCUCCCUGAGCAGACCAUUCCAAAGAUGACAAAUCACUGAUUUAGGUUCAGAAGAAGAGCUUACAUACUUGGCUGAGAUAAAUACAGUAUUCCUGCCACUCAUUUACCUCAGUUGUUAAUCAUUGUUCAAGGCUUCCUCUGGCUGUUUGCAAAGUGAGCAAGCUUGUCCUGCAAGCCCGUGGCAGGACAGCCACUGAGCACGCAGUGGGGGCUCCCAGGAGAUGCAGCCACCUCGCACAGUGGAGCAGUGGCUCCAGGAGGGCUUGCAGCCUCGUGUCCUGCUGGACUCGACCUGAAAGGCCUUGCACAAACCCCACCCAGUGUACUUCGAAAUGUUCUCACAACUCAUGAAGACCUUGGAGGAGCACAUCAAAGGUCGCCACCUUGUGACAGCUGCGUUGAGGCUUUUCUGCACCUGCCGUGGCACGGCCAGGUGUUGUCCCCACGCCCACGAGGUAGACCUGGGGUAGGUAAACUCCCAAACUGGCUCCAGGUCCGCUCCUUCAGGACCUCUCAGCUGGGUGCCAUACAACCAUGGCAGUGCUGCUGUGAGGGCACUGACACACAGUGUAAGAUGUACUGGGAAUUGUGGUGUAGAUACGCUCAACUGAUUAGAUCAGCAGGCCUUAUUAGCUUCUGCCCCAUGCUAGCCCUAAAUAACUAAAUAGCUUUCUAAAUAACUCUCUGCAGGGUCCCUCAAGUGUCUUUGCAGGGUGUUGCUCGUAUCUGAGGCUCUUGGAGGGUGCAUUGACUCAGGUGCAAUAGAUUGAAGCUGGCUCCAUGAAUCUGCAUGGUGUGUACACCGAGUGACUCUAAAGCACCUGAAAAAGUGCAAAUGUAACAGAACCAGCGCUGAGCCACAAUCAAUAAACCUUGGGCUUGAGCUGACAUUUGCUGAAGAUAGUAGUGUGCAUCUAAACUGCGUUCACUGGGGUUUCUUUCCAGAAACUAUUUUAUUCUGUCAUUUUUUGAAUUUUGGUUUAGUUUGUUGGGUUUGGGCUUUUUUGCUCUGUCACACUUUCUCAUUGCACCAGACAAUAAUCUGCUGAUUAGAAAAAAAUUAUCUAACUUACACAAGAUACUUCGAGUAUGUAAAAGAGCUGGUAAUUAAAAUUUUCCUGGCUUGGGCUGCUGGACUGGCAGAGGAAAACAUGUAAUUAUGUCCAUCAGUCUCCACCUAAACAAUCACCCAAAUGAG